rnacentral:rRNA from 1 species
CCCUUUGCUGUUGCGAAUACGUUGCUUCGGCGGGACCCCCCCCUCUGCCCUUCACCGG